rnacentral:rRNA from 1 species
AUGGCGAAGCCCCACCGCGGCUUCUUCCGGCGCCUCGCCAGCAUCACCACCACCACCCUCCUCCUCCUCGCUGUCCUUCAUGUCCUACGCACCGCCGCCGAAGACGAACAGUCUCCAUGGCCAAUCUGCGGGCCCGAACCCUCCAGUGGCAAUUAUCCGCAGAACAGCACCUACCACACCAACAUCAAUCUCCUCUCGGCCUCCCUCCCCAGAAACGCCUCCUCGUCUGCUGCGCUCUACGCCACCGGAAACGUCGGCGAUGUGCCCAACAUCGUCUACGGCCAGGCGCUCUGCCGCGGCGACGUCGCUAACGCCUCCGCCUGCGAGACAUGCGUCGCCAACGCCUUUCCCGGAGCGCAGCGGGUGUGCCCGCUCUACAAGGACGUGGUGAUCUUCUACGACUUCUGCCAGCUCCGCUUCUCUAACCGGAACUUCCUCGUCGACGACGACUACAUCGUCACCACGUACAUUCUCCAGCGGUCUCGGCUCGUGGGCUCGCCGGCGUUCGACGGCGCCGUUGGGCUGCUUGUCAACGCCACAGCGGAACACGUGGUGGAGGACUCGUCCAGGCGGUUCAGCACGGGGGAAGAGGGAUUCGACGACAGCAGAAACUCCAAGAUUUAUGCGCUGUCGCAGUGCACGCCCGACAUCACGGCGGACGUCUGCCGGAAGUGCCUUAACGUCAUAAUUGGGCAGCUUCCGAUUUGGUUCAGCCGAAGGACAGGCGGAGCAAUUUUCGGCGUGUGGUGCAACUUCCGCUACGAGGUGUACCCUUUCUUCUCCGGCCGUCCGCUGGUGCAGCUUCCGCAGUUUGUAGGGAGGCCGCCUGCUUCCGCGCCACCGGUGAUACGAGGAGGAGAGAAAAGGAGAAAUAGUACAGGUAAAGUCCUGGCUAUUCUGAUGCCUACAAUUGCUGUGAUGUUGGUCGUCGCCGUGGUAUACUUUUUCUGUUGGAGGAGGAGAAGACCAGAAGAAGAUGCGUUUCUACCUUCACAAUCAGCUGCCUCAGAUGAUAUUCAAGACAUCGAUUCGCUUCUUCUUGAUCUAGAAACACUAAGAGUUGCCACAGAUGACUUCGACAACAGCAAAAUGCUUGGGAGAGGAGGGUUCGGUAUAGUUUAUAAGGGAGUCCUACCUGAUGGUCAAGAAAUAGCAGUCAAAAGGCUUUGUCAGACUUCCAGACAAGGAAUAGGAGAGUUGAAGAGUGAACUGGUUCUAGUUGCCAAGCUUCACCACAGGAAUCUUGUAAGACUUGUUGGUGUUUGCUUGGAAGAACAAGAGAAAAUACUUGUUUAUGAAUAUAUGCCCAAGAGAAGCCUUGAUACCAUUCUUUUUGAUUCUGAACAAAAUAAAGAGCUGGAUUGGAGACAGAGAUUCAAGAUUGUCAAUGGAAUCGCUCGAGGCUUACAAUACCUCCACCAAGAUUCUCAAUUGAAGAUAGUUCACCGUGACCUCAAAGCAAGCAAUAUACUACUAGAUUUCGAUUACAAUCCCAAAAUUUCGGAUUUCGGCUUAGCUAAGUUAUUCAGAGGGGAUCAAUCAGAAGAUGUGACAAGUCGUAUCGCCGGCACAUAUGGAUACAUGGCGCCGGAAUACGCCAUGCGUGGUCAGUAUUCCAUCAAGUCAGAUGUGUUCAGCUUCGGCGUCUUGGUCUUAGAGAUCGUCACAGGAAGAAGAAAUGAUGGAUCAUAUAACAUCGAGCAAGACAUCGAUCUCGUGAAUCUUGUAUGGGAGCACUGGAACAGGGGAAACGUCAUCGAGAUGAUCGACCCCUCCCUGAGCAACCAUCCUCCCGUCGACCAGAUUCUGAAGUGCAUCCACGUCGGGCUCCUGUGCGUGCAGAGAAAACCGGCGAGCAGGCCCACGAUGUCGUCGGUGAAUAUCAUGUUCAGCAGUCACACUGUCCGUCUCCCUUCUUUGUCGAGGCCGCCAUUCUUCAUCCAGGAGGUCGGUGUCAGUGAAAGCUCGACUGCUCAUUCAGAUGCAUAUCUGCCAGGAGAAAAUUCAACUGUGAUGUCUUCCAACCAAGUGUCCAUCACGGAGCUUUCGCCAAGAUAA